ensembl:lncRNA
AACACAAAAUGCAGUUGCUAAAUGAAGGGGUUAAUAAUUAAGGGAAAAAACCCUCCAAAGCAGGUAGACAGCAGCAAUUCAUGGUUCUAUUUACCGCAGCAAGUCUUCUAGGUCCUGAAGCAGAAAAACAGCUCCAGAUAAUACAUUACCACCACCAUGCCAUAUCAAAAAGCACCACUGAACGACACAGGAAAUCAUUCGGUCUGCAUCCCAAGUCUGCAAUUAAUCAGGCCUGAGUGUGUUUAGUGAAACUCAACUCAGCUUUCCAAAAAAUGUAGUUAGUUACAGUUAAUUCAUGAUUUAACAAGAGGGGCAAUCUUUUUUUUUUUUUCCACAGGACCAGGGAGGUUUUCCUAAUCUAUGAAAUCAUCAUUUAAAAACUGCAUUUUGUAUUUACUUGUCUUAUCUUUCUUCUAAUAUUAAAAUUUGUUUGAUGAUGCAAAACACUAGGAAAUCAGGAAGGGGGCAAACACCUUUUCACAUCACUGUAGACAUGAUUACAGAAUACCUUUUACAUCCUGGAUUACAAUACGAUAUCCAUCAACGGCAGAUACUGGUCUCCAUGACACACAGAUACUGGAGUGGUCUGACCUGACCACACUCGCACUGCUUACCCGCAAAGUGGCUAGAGAGACAGAAAAAAAAGGAAGAAAACAAGCAAAAAACAAAAAAAAAACAAAGCCAAAGAAUGUCAUCUGCACACUAGCAUGGACAAUAAACGUAGACACAGUGCACCCAGUAAUUUUUGAACUUACAACCAAGUAUCAAGAGCAGUACUGGUAUUGUACUGGUACUGGCUGCUGUCUCAUUGUUCAGAGAGCCCAUCAUUAUGCAGAGAAAGGAAUCUGCGUCUCUGGACCAAAAUGACUGUACGUGUAGUGCUGUAGAAACAAUACUGCCCAAAAACAUAUGCAUAUCCCUCCUGUAAGGGUAAAGUAAUGGGACAUUUGCACUUUUUGCAUGUAAACCUGUCGCUCUUCACUGGAAGUUGCACUUGAGCUGUCUUGACAUCUUUCCCUUGUUUGACUCACCAGUUUUGCCCUGAGCUGAACCGCUGCCUCCUUCUCUGUUGUGGUACUCAGCAGUGACCAAGAUGCUGUAGCGCGUAUCUGGCUGCAGUGACUCCAGCAUCACCUGCUUCUCUC